GAUGAACGCUGGCGGCGUGCUUAACACAUGCAAGUCGAACGGGAAACCUUUUAUUGAAGCUUCGGCAGAUUUAGCUGGUUUCUAGUGGCGGACUGGUGAGUAACGCGUGGGUAACCUGCCUUAUACAGUGGGCUAACAGUCAGAAAUGACUGCUAAUACCGCAUAAGCGCACAGGACCGCAUGUUCCGGUGUGAAAAACUCCGGUGGUAUAAGAUGGACCCGCGUUGGAUUAGCUUGUUGGUGGGGUAACGGCUCACCAAGGCGAAGAUCCAGAGCCGGCGUGAGAAGGUGAAGGGACACAGUGGGACAGAGACACGGCCCAGACUCAUACGAGAGGGAGGAGGGGGGAAUAUUGCAAAAGGGGGAAAACCGAGAUGGAGAGACGGCGCGUGAAGAAAAAAGUAACGCGGUAUGUAAAGUUCUAUCAGCAGGGAAGAUAGUGACGGUACCUGACGAAGAAGCACCGGCUAACUACGUG
rnacentral:rRNA from 1 species